GGUGGGAUACCCAAGUACGGUAAAGGGGCUGUUUUGCUAAAACAGUAGAGGCUACGGCCUGCGUAGGUUCAAAUCCUACUCCUACCG
rnacentral:tRNA from 1 species